UCUUGGCAGAAGCGAUGAUAGGAGGAGAGUUCAGUGGUGAAGAAGUUCUCUGUCUGUGUGGAGGAGUUCAUUCUACGACGUUGGUCCGGUGGUGGAUCCGAAGAAGAGGACCAAGCCUGCGGAAAGGCGCUGCUGGACUUGAGAUGUUUUGUGUAGACCCCCGAGCUGCAGCAGUUCAUCUGAUUCUUCUGGACCUUCAGGAGACUCCAGCUCUGGGGAUGUCCUGAACGUCUUCUGUGUGAUGAAGAGAUCCUGACUGUUAAAGUCCUCACUGCACGCCGGAGAAUCCUCCUGACCCACAACCUCACUGUUUCCCACAUCCACGUCUUUCUUCGGCGAUGUCGACGUAAACUGCGGAUGUUUGGCGCAGAUGAAAUCUUUGGGCAAACUAAAGAUAUUUUGCCUGACGAGUUCCAGGAGAGGAACUUCACUUCCUCCAUCUCUGCGUCCUCCUCCCCGCAGCCACUCAUCCGUCUGGACCCAAGAAGAAGAAAACGGGAACUGUUUGGUAUGAAUCCAUUAAAUCUACUUAAGCAACACCUUUAAUUAAUUGAAUAAAAUCAGCACUCGGUCACAUCUUUCAGAACUUGUUUGCAUCCUGGUCCUGCUGUGAGGCAGACUUUAACAUCAGGAAAAUAAGGUUCAUAGACCACGCACUCUCCCACACCAAAGUCCAUAGAGAAAAUGAUUGAUUUGAGGUCACAGUGACCCAGCAGCCGCUGGUCCAGUGCUGUCUUCUGUGGUGAGUUCAGGUGGCUAAAGUCGUUUCCCGUUCUGCAUUAAGUGGAUCUUCACGUACGGGUCUGAGGGAGUGAACAGGGAGUCGUCACAGCAUCACACAGUAGAGUAUUUGACCAAUCACAUUUAACCCCAUCUGAAUCUAGAAUUCUCCUCAGCUACUCACCCGAUAGUCCGCCCACAUCCAUCUUCUUCAGGUUUUUGGCCUCCAGAACCACCACAGUCAGCUUCCCUGCAGUGGGCACGAACCUCAGGGACAAACAAACAUCUCCCAACCGCUCACUCUGUCACAGCAGAAAGGUCUCUCCACUCCUGUAAAGACUGGCUGAAGUCCACGCUGCUCAUGGGUAUUUUCACAGCUCCAAUGGCGUCGUGUUUCGAGAAACGGUCAAAAUCGUAGACAGUCAUCACCAGAGUCUUCCCUCCCAGCUCACUGUAUGGAACCUUGAGGAAAAAAAAAGAGGUUAAGAGAUGGA